GUAUUUGUAGUGGAGAGAGACUUUAGUGGCACUGGCAUGUGGGAAUUUUCACAACUAAAAAUGACCAGACUAAAACAUACUAUUUCAUGAUUUACUGCUGCGUGUCUAUGCCGUGCUGAAAGUCUUGUAUCUACUCUUGUCUCUUUGUAGACCAGUUUCAGACCUUAGGAGAAAGAGCGUUUUCUUUUAACGUUUUAAACACUGAACUUAAAAUUUGAUUAUUGAAGGUUUAGCCAAAAUUCACCCAGAUUGUCGCACUGGCUGCAUAGCAGAAAAAGACAAACCACUAAAACAUUUUCAGCCAGUAGAAGGAGGUUAUGUCAUUGGCAUAGCUGUAAGUUCUAGGUAGCUAACUGCAUGGCCAUAACCAGCUAUGGGGUUCAAGUACCACUGAACUCAAAGAACAGUUGCGUCAUUAAGGAAGUGGUUAUCCAAGCAUCCUCUCUGCAGAGCUGAUUAGAGGCCCCUUCCUGUAAAAGAGGACAACACAAGGACGACGCGCUCAUCGUCUGCCAGCAGAGCUCUUAGAUUUUAGCCGGUCUGGCCGAGGCAGAGGCUGCAGCUCGAUGAAGAUGGAUGGUCUAAUCCAUCGUGCGGAGAAAAGAUUCUCAUAGCCCUGUUCUGUGGAAACGGGUACAGAAAACCCUGCAAGCAUGACCUGCUAAGGACAAAAUAACUGACAGGCAAAUUUAGAGAUUAUAUCUGGUAAACCUGGUGGAAUAUUUAGAAGCUGCAGGGCUGGAUAUUUCCUUCAGGAAUUGGUGAAGAAAAGUAGAGUUAAAAGAAAGACAAUCUUUUGUAUUCAUCCCACAUUCAUCAAGUAGCAUAAAUGGCAUUAUGUGACUGGAUGACAUCACAUCGGCUGAACACAAAAGUGACUCUAAAUGAGUGAUCACGCUGCUCUGUGACUGAUGAGUGUGUAAAUAACCGAGUGUUUGUGAAACAAAUGCAAGUAAAAAACAAAAGUUGACUGAAAUCAUGUAUAAAAGUUGUUAUUAAAAGGUGAUUUUAUCUUG